rnacentral:rRNA from 1 species
UGCCAGCCGCCGCGGUAAUACGGAGGGUGCAAGCGUUAAUCGGAAUUACUGGGCGUAAAGCGCGCGUAGGUGGUUUAGUAAGUUGUCUGUGAAAGCCCCGGGCUCAACCUGGGAAAGCCAGGCAAAACUACUAGACUAGAGUAUGGGAGAGGGUAGUGGAAUUUCCAGUGUAGCGGUGAAAUGCGUAGAGAUUGGAAGGAACACCAGUGGCGAAGGCGGCUACCUGGCCCAAUACUGACACUGAGGUGCGAAAGCGUGGGGAGCAAACAGGAUUAGAUA